rnacentral:rRNA from 1 species
GAAACGACUGCUAAGACUGGAUAGGAGAUAAGAAGGCAUCUUCUUAUUUUUAAAAGACCUAGCAAUAGGUAUGCUUAAGGAGGGGCUUGCGUCACAUUAGUUAGUUGGUAGGGUAAAAGCCUACCAAGACGAUGAUGUGUAGUCGGGCUGAGAGGCUGAACGGCCACAUUGGAACUGAGACACGGUCCAAACUCCUACGGGAGGCAGCAGUAGGGAAUUUUCGGCAAUGGAGGAAACUCUGACCGAGCAACGCCGCGUGAACGAUGAAGUAUUUCGGUACGUAAAGUUCUUUUAUUAAGGAAGAAAAGAUGGUGGAAAAACCAUUAUGACGGUACUUAAUGAAUAAGCCCCGGCUAACUAUGUGCCAGCAGCCGCGGUAAUACAUAGGGGGCGAGCGUUAUCCGGAAUUAUUGGGCGUAAAGGGUGCGUAGGCGGUUUAAUAAGUUUAUGGUCUAAGUGCAAUGCUUAACAUUGUGAUGCUAUAAAAACUGUUUGACUAGAGUUGGAUAGAGGCAAGUGGAAUUCCAUGUGUAGCGGUAAAAUGCGUAAAGAUAUGGAGGAACACCAUAAGCGAAGGCGGCUUGCUGGGUCUUAACUGACGCUGAGGCACGAAAGCGUGGGGAGCAAACAGGAUUAGAUACCCUGGUAGUCCACGCCGUAAACGAUGAGUACUAGACGUUGGGUUAAACCAGUGUCGAAGUUAACACAUUAAGUACUCCGCCUGAGUAGUACGUACGCAAGUAUGAAACUUAAAGGAAUUGACGGGACUCCGCACAAGCGGUGGAUCAUGUUGUUUAAUUCGAAGGUACCCGAAAAACCUCACCAGGUCUUGACAUGCUUCUGCAAAGCUGUAGAAAUACAGUGGAGGUUAUCAGUUGCACAGGUGGUGCAUGGUUGUCGUCAGCUCGUGUCGUGAGAUGUUGGGUUAAGUCCCGCAACGAGCGCAACCCUUGUUGUUAAUUGCCAUCAUUAAGUUGGGGACUUUAGCAAGACUGCCAAUGAUAAAUUGGAGGAAGGUGGGGACGACGUCAAAUCAUCAUGCCCCUUAUGACCUGGGCUACAAACGUGAUACAAUGGCUGUUACAAAGGGUAGCUGAAGCGCGAGCUUUUGGCAAAUCUCAAAAAAACAGUCUCAGUUCGGAUUGAAGUCUGCAACUCGACUUCAUGAAGUUGGAAUCGCUAGUAAUCGCGAAUCAGCAUGUCGCGGUGAAUACGUUCACGGGGUUUGUACACACCGCCCGUCA